UAAGCAGAUAGUGAAAUUGUGUGGCUCAACCAUACACCCAUUAUCUGAACUGCUAAGCUAGAGUAUAUGAGAGGUAGCUGGAAUUCCUAGUGUAGGAGUGAAAUCCGUAGAUAUUAGGAGGAACACCGAUGGCGUAGGCAGGCUACUGGCAUAUUACUGACACUAAGGCACGAAAGCGUGGGGAGCGAACGGGAUUAGAUACCCGGUAGUCCACGCCGUAAACGAUGGAUGCUA
rnacentral:rRNA from 1 species